ACAAAUUGUGAAAAAAUCUCCAAAAAUUGUACUAAUGUCACUCGGCCGCCAACUUGAAAAGUGAAGCAAAAAUCCCAAUAGUGAUUUCUCUUUCUCCAACUGUUAACUUUGAGUCAAAAUUGGUGUGCACCUUGAUCUUCAAGUUUUUCAACAUCAUGUCAAAUUUCACCUUCAUCCAAUUGGUAGAUCUCUAAAUAUCACAAAAAUCCUAUCCAACUC
rnacentral:lncRNA from 1 species